AGGGGAAAAGGUAAGAGAAUAGCUUCUAACUAAUUCUCUAAGCGGUUUAACUCCGUUUAUCCCCUC
rnacentral:tRNA from 1 species